ACGAACGCUGGCGGCGUGCCUAAUACAUGCACGUCGAGCGAAGUUUUUCUGGUGCUUGCACUAGAAAAACUUAGCGGCGAACGGGUGAGUAACACGUAAAGAACCUGCCUCAUAGACUGGGACAACUAUUGGAAACGAUAGCUAAUACCGGAUAACAGCAUUAACUGCAUGGUUGAUGUUUAAAAGUUGGUUUUGCUAACACUAUGAGAUGGCUUUGCGGUGCAUUAGCUAGUUGGUGGGGUAAAGGCCUACCAAGGCGACGAUGCAUAGCCGACCUGAGAGGGUGAUCGGCCACACUGGGACUGAGACACGGCCCAGACUCCUACGGGAGGCAGCAGUAGGGAAUCUUCCGCAAUGGGCGAAAGCCUGACGGAGCAACGCCGCGUGAGUGAAGAAGGAUUUCGGUUCGUAAAGCUCUGUUGUUAGGGAAGAAUGAUUGUGUAGUAACUAUACACAGUAGAGACGGUACCUAACCAGAAAGCCACGGCUAACUACGUG
rnacentral:rRNA from 1 species